AUCCAGUUGACGAGUCCCAAAUAGGACGAAAUGCACAUCCUGGAU
rfam:Trichobilharzia regenti genome assembly, scaffold: TRE_scaffold0016363